rnacentral:rRNA from 1 species
GACGAACGCUGGCGGCGUGCUUAACACAUGCAAGUCGAACGGAAAGGCCCUGCUUUUGUGGGGUGCUCGAGUGGCGAACGGGUGAGUAACACGUGAGUAACCUGCCCUUGACUUUGGGAUAACUUCAGGAAACUGGGGCUAAUACCGGAUAGGAGCUCCUGCUGCAUGGUGGGGGUUGGAAAGUUUCGGCGGUUGGGGAUGGACUCGCGGCUUAUCAGCUUGUUGGGGGGGUAGUGGCUUACCAAGGCUUUGACGGGUAGCCGGCCUGGGAGGGUGACCGGCGACAAUAGGACUGAGAUACGGCCCAGACUGCUACGGGAGGCAGCAGUGGGGAAUAUUGCACAAUGGGCGGAAGCCUGAUGCGACAACGCCGCGUGCGGGAUGACGGCCUUCGGGUUGUAAACCGCUUUCGCCUGUGACGAAGCGUGAGUGACGGUAAUGGGAAAAGAAGCACCGGCUAACUACGUG